UGCAUGUACUAUGGCCAGUAGGGGGCAAUGCAAAGCAGGUAGUGACCUAUGAGACGUACCAUAAAAUCGGUCGAAGAAGAAUUGGGCUUUUGGAAGAGGCUGGCGGGCUUUUGGAAGAGGCUGGCGAGCUGUUGGCGUGGAGAGAACGAAGAAAGCGAAGUCAACAGAGAGACGGGUUUUAUGAGGAAACAUGGACAAAAAGUAUGCACCAAAUCACCAACAGAAGACAGACAAGCUCUAUGCAGUAAAUGUGAGGCUAGGCUUGCGGCAGCAGUAGUGGGGAGAGAUGAACGGUCUCUGUUGAAGAGGAGUCAGACUAACAAACGCUCACAACGGGCUGCAGAUUUUCGGAGCGGAGACGGGAACAUGGAACUCAAAUUUGAAUGAUGUGUCUGAAAUUUGCUCGUGAUUGUGGCUUUCGCGCUGAUUUUGUCCGUGCGAAAUCGGAAGAAGCGUCUUCGUUUCCUGACCGCGAGAGCUGCCGCCCUCCUCCGAGCGCGUCAGCGUGGCAGCGGGAACGGGGACGGAAUUAAAUCAGCGCUCGCUGUGGAGAACAGGUAAAUCCCUGUGGAAUUCACACACCUGUGAUAACACCAUGGGAUUAUACUGCCUGGCCCACAUUCUAUAAGCAUUAAAAUCCAUUAUUCCGUAUAAACCUUAUGAGUCGGUCUUA